rnacentral:rRNA from 1 species
GUACGCUAUUCAGAGUUUGAUCCUGGCUCAGGAUGAACGCUGGCGGCGUGCCUAACACAUGCAAGUCGAACGGGACUUAUUGAGACGAUUUCGGUCUGAUCAUUAAGUUUAGUGGCGGACGGGUGAGUAACGCGUGGACAACCUGCCUUUCACAGGGGGAUAGCAGCUGGAAACGGCUGGUAAUACCGCAUACGCGAGAGAUGCCGCAUGACAUCACUCGGAAAGAUUUAUCGGUGAAAGAUGGAUCCGCGUCUGAUUAGCCAGUUGGCGGGGUAACGGCCCACCAAAGCGACGAUCAGUAGCCGGCCUGAGAGGGCGGACGGCCACAUUGGGACUGAGACACGGCCCAG